GGGCUGGCCGCAGGAAGCGACUACAGCAGCGACGGAAGCGGUGUGGGCCGCCAUCUUGGCCCACCUGCUGAUCCUCCACCUGACCGGAGCCCGCCGUGCAUAGGCUGAUAGGAGACGUGCGGGGUGGACGGACUGCGGGACAUCUGAAGGAAGGGCUCAAGGCGCGCCAAGCUCAAAGCUGGGCCGCCACUCUAGACCGUGGAGGGAAGCGCCCGGGCCAGAUCAUCGGUCGAGGACAUGGGGUCGCCUCAGAGUGGGAAGGUGAGGGGCUCGGGAGGUGCCCUUACAAGCUCUGAAUCGUGGCUUGGUGGCUGGCCAGCCUCCUCCUGCCUCCCCGGCUAGGCCCUCGGGGUCCCCCGCUGCCGUGGGACCUCCUGAGUGGGGUCCCGGGAAUCACCAGAGAAGCACUGGAGGAUGUUUCCUUUUCGACUGCCCUCCUUUCAAGUGCCCUCCUGGCUGCCUGCCUUCAAGGCAGGAUGCGGGAACCGUUGGCUCUACUCAGUGCAAAAAGGACAUGUCUAUAGGGCUAAAAAGGGCUUGGAGCCCGGCGACAAGGGUUGGAGAGGGGCACAUCCUCUGCUCCCAUUCAGUGAAUUCAGUGGAUCAGUAUCACGUAUUUAUCUUUAAUUCACAUCACAGCAGUCAAGGAAGUGGGGAAAGGGGGAAAAAAAAUCAAGUGGCAGAUAUUUACAUCUAAAAUUCACAUUACUUGUUGGAUUUUGAACAUGCUACCACAAUAUAUACAGUAAAAUACCUCUUGGGACAAUGGUACAAAUUUUGUUUCCUUUAACUUUGCUUUUCUGGUACAGGUAAGAUCAUUUUUAAAUCACUUUUUUUCUUUAAACAUGAAUACACAAAAGAAAUGGUUAGAAGUUUCCUUGUUUUAAAUAAGCACAGAAUGCGGGAGGUUAAAAACACAUUUAUAGUGCUGAAUACCAAUUGGACAUCAC
rnacentral:lncRNA from 1 species